rnacentral:rRNA from 1 species
ACGAGUGGCGAACGGGUGAGUAACACGUAGGAAUCUACCCAGAAGUGGGGGACAACCCGGAGAAAUCCGGGCUAAUACCGCAUACGCCCUAAGGGGUAAAGCGGGGGACCUUUUCGAAGGCCUCGCGCUUUUGGAUGAGCCUGCGUCGGAUUAGCUUGUUGGUGAGGUAAUGGCUCACCAAGGCGACGAUCCGUAGCUGGUCUGAGAGGAUGACCAGCCACACUGGGACUGAGACACGGCCCAG